rnacentral:pre_miRNA from 1 species
AUCACCUAGGAGUCUUGCUAAAAUGCAGAUUCUGAUUCAGUGGGUCUGGGCUGGGGACUAAGAUUCUGCAUUUGGGGCAAGCUCCCCACUGAGGCCAG